rnacentral:lncRNA from 1 species
UCGGCCAAUCAAAUCAAGACGAUCUAAUUUCUGCCCUUGAUUUAGGUAUUACAAUUAUUAUUGAGUUAUGAAUGAAUAUGACAUUUAUUAUUCAUAUAAUUCUGUUCAGGUAUUCUAUCAUGUUGUUGAUAUUGAUAUGAGCUUUCACCCAUUAAGUUUACAUUUUACAAAUCAUCUAUGAAGAAGUGGCUUUUAUUCACAAAAGAAACAACUCACGGGUACCGUAGGCUGCACGAGUGUGAGUUAGGACAACUCACUAGAUAUUAUAGUAUAUCGGCCUCCAUGCGUUGGGAUGACUUAUCUUGUCAUACACAAAAGAUAUUAAGAUAGAAAUCAUGAGUUCACAGUUGGCAGUGAGUGAGGACAGCUCAUCAGACAUUAUGGUACAUUGACCUUCAUGGGAUGGGGUUACUUGUCAUUGACAUUGGAUUGGACAUAUUAGCCCUUGUUUGAGCCCCAUUUUGGGGGCAGGAUGAAUUUUUGAAUAGUGUAUUGAUGUGAAAUAUGUGGUUAAAAAAUAAGGAAAAUUUUUAAAUUUGUGUGUAAUAUUAUUUUAUUGAAAAUGUGUGGUUGAUAUGGUGUCAAAACACUUUUGAAAAAUGUAUUUUUACCAAAGAAUAGGGAUCAAACAAGGGCUUAGUAUGUUCUAUUCGAUAGAAAACAUUGAAGAAAAUGGAAGUCGAUCUAUUAAAAAAAUCUCUUGGAUAAAUUUGUGCAUCUAUUUAUUACGUGUGUCCUUAAUCUCCAAGGAAUAAUAGACCUAAAUCAUAGGAUUAGUUACUUUGAGAUGUCAAAAAGUGAUGCCUUAUUGACGGUCAAUACUCUCGAUAUAUCGGGUGAUUACUUUGCAUAAUUGUGGAGAUAUACUCAAUAUAGACACCAUAAUAUCCUCUGUGCUAGGUAUGACUGUGGUGAUCAUGAAUCUAUGUGGAUGGUACUUCUAAUUAAUGGAGUUAUAAUAGAAUUUAUUAUUAAGAUAUUUAUUAGGACUUGGAUUUCAAAUAUAGAUAUGUAUCACUGAUGGUUGAGAUUAGUGACUCAAAAAAUGUUAGAAUGCCUAGAUGUAAUAUAACAAGUUGAUAAUGUUUAUUCCUCUAGAUUACUUAUAUUUGUCCAUGGACCAACUUACGUUUGGCCCCCAUUUUUUAAAAAUGAAAAUGGUUGGAAUAGUAUUUUUUUUUUUUGAAAAAUGAGUGGUUGAAAAAGAAUGAAAAGUUUUCAAUUUAUGUAUAGUAUUAUUUUAUGAAAGAUUGUGCAGUUAAAAAUAGGAGAGAUAAAAAUGGAAUGUAAUGUAAUAGAAUUUAAUGUGGACCAAACGGUGGCUAUAUAAUGAUUCGUAGGUAAAGUACAUGAUACAAUUGAUUAUAUUAAUUCAAUAUAUUUACACAGGAUGCUAGAGUGUAAUCAUAUUCUUGUAUGGAUCACAAUGAGAUAAUGGGCAUGUGUGAAAGCCUAUUAGAACUAUGAUUUGCGGUGAGAUAGGUUGAGAGACAGAAAUUUUGGAUCGAUCACAGUGUUUUCAGAUUUACAUUUUUGGAUUUUAAGGUAAAUCUCUUCCUUUCUCCUACUACAAUAAUUGAAAGACACGGUCCUAUGUAUUCAUGGCUUACGAUUCGAGAACCGCAUUUUGCCUAACUAAUGCUAGUAUUAAGAGAUGAUAAAAGACAGAUAUGUCAAUCUGUAACAUAAAGAACUUAACCAGAAGAAAGUAUUGUAUGCACAAUUCAGUUCGAACCAAUGGAAGGCUUAAUUCAGUUACAUAAAAAGAGAAAACAGCCAGAACAAAGUUUAAUUCAUAUAUCAAAUCAACUUAUACUUGAGUUAAAAAUAAUUAAAUUCAAAUUCCGCUAUUGUAUUUUUAAUCAUUAAUGAAACAGAUACUGGAAAUUUAUCAACCUCCAAUCCCUUGCAUUUUUAUCCACUUGUGUUGCAAGC